rnacentral:rRNA from 1 species
AUUGAACGCUGGCGGCAGGCCUAACACAUGCAAGUCGAGCGGAUGAGAAGAGCUUGCUCUUCGAUUCAGCGGCGGACGGGUGAGUAAUGCCUAGGAAUCUGCCUGGUAGUGGGGGAUAAC